rnacentral:rRNA from 1 species
GAGGGGGGCUGCUCCUAGUACGAGAGGACCGGAGUGGACGCAUCACUGGUGUUCGGGUUGUCAUGCCAAUGGCACUGCCCGGUAGCUAAAUGCGGAAGAGAUAAGUGCUGAAAGCAUCUAAGCACGAAACUUGCCCCGAGAUGAGUUCUCCCUGAGACUUUAAGUCUCCUGAAGGAACGUUGAAGACGACGACGUUGAUAGGUCGGGUGUGUAAGCGCAGCGAUGCGUUGAGCUAACCGAUACUAAUGAACCGUGAGGCUUAACCUU